AAAAAAAAAAAACCCAUUAGCAAGCCUCUCCAGCUGGUUCUUGCUAAUAGCUUGCGAUACUUUUUGAGGCGUCCAUUCACAGAGGA